CUAGCGCAAUGUACCGGUCCCUACACACGGAAAAAAAAGUCCGGCGCGGCUCACCGAGCGCACCCGUGUGUGUCACCGGGCGCGCCGGUCCUUAUAGGGCUACAGAAGAAUACCGCAUUGCCAUAUUGGGCCGUCCGGUGAAAUUCACCGGUCCUGUCCAGCGUUCCGAGGCUGCACAGUCUGGGCACCACUAUGUCUUUGUCCGGCCGCCGCGAACGGUAUACCGUCCCUGCAGCGGGCGCUACCCUGUAAGUGGCACCGUUACUUUUAUCUCGGCCGGUCACUUCAAUCCCAGCCACCUGUCUCGCUCACUGGAAUUACCCAUUGGCCCAAAUGAAGAAAAAUCCUGUACCGCCACUGGGAAUAAUACCCGUUGUAGGUCCAGUCAAAAUGCCAUGCGUGUCGGACGUUCUGGAAAUGAAGAACCAAUUAAGCAAUAACAUUAGCCUAAUCGCAAGGGUGAGACAUAUAUUUCUUCUAGUGGUGACCGAAUAUGCAAUUAACUUAGAUGUCAUAUGUUUAGCUUCUAGUCUCAUCACCCACAUAUCAAGAAAGCUGGCAAAUAACUUCAGAUACCUAGGAUAGUGUACUAAGUGAUGAAACUUGUUCUUUAAAUUAGCUUGUGAACACUGCAAAUAUAAUUUAUGGUGAUCUCUAAUAUACACCUUCAGUUGAAUUUCACACUCUUCCUGGAUAUUUUUAGACAAAACAAUGUCUAAGAUGCUUCGUAGACUUAAAUACAAGAGCCAAAAAGGAUCAUCUUCUGGAAUUUCACAGUCACAAAACAUAAUACCAAAAUACUUACAAAAGAUUAACAUUUGAUGCGCAGACAUACUCAAUUUACCUUUUUCAACAUCUAAUUUAGACUGCAAGGGAGGUCUAUUUCGCUUAUCUAUUAACCCAAAAUCAAAACUUUCUAAGCGCAAAUUAAACUUAUCCAUAUCAAAAUACUUUUCCUCAAAAAUGAAAUUUGUGAGAAUUAGAGUCAUAUCGUAGUGGCAAAUGCCUUCGAGCAAAUCAUGAAAGCUGUCAACAGCAACCGACGUGGUUACAUGAAAAUCAUAUACCUUGUUCCAAAUAGAAUUAGAUCUUACUCCAGUUUGUGACAGAUCGUUUGUUACCAGAUCUCUCUCGUAAGACUCAACAGUUCGCAGUAGGCCUGGAUUUUCCUCUAAAUCAGAGUGCAAGUUGUUCCUAUGUAUGUUACAAAUUCUGCAGGGAAAAUUGGCCGUAAAACCUUCGGCAAAGUCAAUCAACUGGUGAAGACCAAGGUUGUCACCCUGAAGUAAGGCAAGAUGAAAAAAAAUUGUUCUUGAGAAUGAGUUGGUCUUAAAUUCUAUACCUUCUGUGGCUAGUUCAUUUAGCUCCUUGAUUAAAAGCCGAAACACUGCUUCAUUGCCGAAAGUCUUACGAUCUGCGCUAUGGAAUAGUAAAACAACAAAUAUGUACUUCAGUUUUGACCGUAAGUGAGGGGGGAUGCAAGGCAUUGUCAUGUAAGUGCCUCCCAAUUUAUGGACCGUUUUACUUGGUCCGAUAGGGUUAGUCACUUCAAACUCGUCUACAAAGAUAAAAAUCGGGAGGAUGGUUUUUCCUGGGUGCCUAAGCAAUUUAUCUCGCCAAUAGCUGCCUUGAAUGAAGUUAGAAAGAAGAGAGUGAUCUGAGUUGAGAAGUUUGUUAUUGUACUCCAGGACCUCAUUAAGGAAAGUGGAUUCACCUAAGAGUCUCUCCAAAAUACGUUUGGGAGAUAUGAACUGACCCGUGACAGGCACAGGUACUCUUAGAGCUUCUCCCUUCACAUACUUUUGAUCUGUUCGUUGACCAGCUAUGUUAAAUUCAAAUGGUGGAAUAUAAGUCCCUUGCUUUUCAAAAUGUUUAACCUCUUAUACUCUGUCCCUAAGGCACUAAAAGGAUUGCCCAAUUUCUCUAAAAGAUUUUGAACUUCUAUAUUAUCAGAUACCCCUGGCAGUAAAAUUUCGAGUUUAUCUUUCAUUAUUUGUGCCGUUGAAUCAAACAAGCUAGAAGCUUCAUCGACAACUGUUUGGAUGAAGUUCCGCGGUACAGAAACACUAGAGUACAAUUUAGCCAAGAACAAAGCAGCUUCUUCACUCAUCUGGGAUAGGGGAUUAAUCGAUGCUUCAGAUAAGUCGGACAUCUCCACAUCAUCUACAGGUUCAUUACCUACGACACCAUGAUCAUCGAUGAUGUCAUUAGAGGAAGGUUCAUUUAACGAAUUGGAGAAGCCUGCGUGUGAAAAAUUUUCAACACCAGAUACACUUCUUCUACAGCAACGGGGGAAAUGAUUAAACAAAUAUCUCAUGCAUGAAAAUGGCUGCUUGCACUCAUUACACUUUACACUAUCUGUGAGAGGCUGUUUACCAUGAAUUAACUUUAAAUGUUUUUUCAGCGCUUUCACAUUAAAAAAUUGCUUACAUACGUAACAUGAAGGCAUGGUCCAGAGCAAAAAAAAAUACAAAAUAUCUAAUGAUAAAAUUAAAAUAAAAAUUAAGUUAACUUGAACUAGAGUCGGAGGCGGAAAUGCAAUUUAAGCUGUUGAUUAAAUCAUUUACUGCCCUAUGAGAUUUACUAUUAGAUUUUACAUCUAUCUUAAACACAUGCUGUUGA
rnacentral:lncRNA from 1 species